UACGUAGGGUGCAAGCGUUAAUCGGAAUUACUGGGCGUAAAGCGUGCGCAGGCGGCUUUGCAAGACAGAUGUGAAAUCCCCGGGCUUAACCUGGGAACUGCAUUUGUGACUGCAUGGCUGGAGUGCGGCAGAGGGGGAUGGAAUUCCGCGUGUAGCAGUGAAAUGCGUAGAUAUGCGGAGGAACACCGAUGGCGAAGGCAAUCCCCUGGGCCUGCACUGACGCUCAUGCACGAAAGCGUGGGGAGCGAACGGG
rnacentral:rRNA from 1 species